GGGUCUGUGGUCCAACUUGGAUAGGAUGCGAGGCUUCGGACCUCGAGGUCCGGGUUCAAAUCCUGGCAGGCCCA
rnacentral:tRNA from 1 species